UGCCGAGGUACAGCUCAGUAGCUAGACUGU
rnacentral:piRNA from 1 species